AGAGUUUGAUCAUGGCUCAGAUUGAACGCUGGCGGCAGGCUUAACACAUGCAAGUCGAGCGGUAACAGGGGUAGCUUGCUACCCGCUGACGAGCGGCGGACGGGUGAGUAAUGCUUAGGAAUCUGCCUGGUAGUGGGGGAUAGCCCGGGGAAACCCGGAUUAAUACCGCAUACGUCCUACGGGAGAAAGCAGGGGAUCUUCGGACCUUGCGCUAUCGGAUGAGCCUAAGUCGGAUUAGCUAGUUGGUGGGGUAAAGGCCUACCAAGGCGACGAUCCGUAGCUGGUCUGAGAGGAUGAUCAGCCACAUCGGGACUGAGACACGGCCCGAACUCCUACGGGAGGCAGCAGUGGGGAAUAUUGGACAAUGGGGGAAACCCUGAUCCAGCCAUGCCGCGUGUGUGAAGAAGGCUUUCGGGUUGUAAAGCACUUUCAGUGAGGAGGAAGGCUCAAAGGCUAAUACCCUUUGGGAUUGACGUUACUCACAGAAGAAGCACCGGCUAACUCCGUGCCAGCAGCCGCGGUAAUACGGAGGGUGCAAGCGUUAAUCGGAAUUACUGGGCGUAAAGCGCGCGUAGGCGGUUUGAUAAGCGAGAUGUGAAAGCCCCGGGCUCAACCUGGGAACGGCAUUUCGAACUGUCAGGCUAGAGUAUGGUAGAGGGUAGUGGAAUUUCCUGUGUAGCGGUGAAAUGCGUAGAUAUAGGAAGGAACACCAGUGGCGAAGGCGGCUACCUGUACCAAUACUGACGCUGAGUGCGAAAGCGUGGGGAGCAAACAGAUUAGAUACCCUGGUAGUCCACGCCG
rnacentral:rRNA from 1 species